rnacentral:rRNA from 1 species
AUAUUCAGCUUGAUAACAGAUUAAUUGACGUGCAGAGAUGCAUGUUGAUAACAGAAUUUGCCUGGCGGCUUUAGCGCGGUGGUCCCACCUGACCCCAUGCCGAACUCAGAAGUGAAACGCCGUAGCGCCGAUGGUAGUGUGGGGUCUCCCCAUGUGAGAGUAGGGAACUGCCAGGC